AUGAUACGUCAUUCUAACAUCGUGCGCAUAUUUAAACAAGGCUAUAUCAAUUUUCUAACCAUCAAAUCUCAUAGUACAAUCCGUACAGAUUAUAUUCAUCUCUUUUGCAGGAAAAAUCACAUAACAAAUCCAACAUUAACCUCACCUCACUAUAAACAAAAACAACAUCAAUCACAAACCAUGAAAACAAAUUUAAAUCCAACAAUAUUGACGAUGUCUCAUAUUUGUGUAGAAGUUAUUUUUACAGGAGAAAAGAACACAUGA